UACAGGGGGUGCAAACGUUGCUCGGAAUCAUUGGGCGUAAAGCGCACGUAGGCGGCUUUGUAAGUUAGAGGUGAAAGCCCGGGGCUCAACUCCGGAACUGCCUUUAAGACUGCAUCGCUAGAAUUGUGGAGAGGUGAGUGGAAUUCCGAGUGUAGAGGUGAAAUUCGUAGAUAUUCGGAAGAACACCAGUGGCGAAGGCGACUCACUGGACACAUAUUGACGCUGAGGUGCGAAAGCAUGGGGAGCGAACAGG
rnacentral:rRNA from 1 species